GAUGAAGUGUUUGUUCUCUUAUACACUAGUAUAAAUGGAUCCAUUAUGUGAUUCUAUCAAUGCAUGCAUAUGUUUUCUCUUAUCACCAUCAGAUGCAUACUCUUCUAGACGACAUGACGAUGCUGAAUACAAGUAAAUACUUGAAGAUUAGCACAAAAGUUACAGAUCAAUCCAAUAAAAUCUAUAUCAAAUAACCCUAAAAUUUGUCAAGUAUCAUGGCAAAACCAGUACCUUCUCUGAAAUCGGUAUCACGCUUCUCAACGUUGCGGUGUGGAAAUUAACGAUUGCGCAAGUCCGUCUUUCUAGCCAGCAGAGUAGCAAUGCUACACUUCUAACUCGGCGGUGGCGAUCAGGCGUGCCGCGAAUCAAACAACAACCUUUGUCGGCCGGAGAGACGAUCCCCGCCUGAUCGUCAGAUAUGCAUCAACGCAGCCAUGACAGAUCCAAUCUCCAAAUCGCGUAAAAGACAAAAAACCUGUUUCCGUUGUAUUUUCUGCUUUGGUCUGUUGUGCCGCCUAGAGUUCAAUAGAUCUAUCAAGGUAAGUAAUCGUGUGCAUCGAUGCUGUCAUUAAGUUUCCCUUUUUU
rnacentral:lncRNA from 1 species